GACAUUUGGGUCUUGGUCCGCGGCCCUUCACGGGGUUCGUGAGCUAGCCGAGACUCGGUGCCAUCCUCCUGGAGUGCGCGGCCUGCCCUUUACUGGGUCGGGCCGCUGUGUUCUGGGACUUUUACUUUGAAAAAAUUAGAGUGUUUAAAGCAGGCAAUCGCUUUUGAAUAGAUUAGCAUGGAAUAAUAAUAUAGGACUGGCUUCCUAUUUUGUUGGUUUCUAGGGAGACAGUAAUGAUUGAUAGGGGUCGUUGGGGGUGCUCGUAUUGAGUGGCCAGAGGUGAAAUUCUUGGAUUCACUCAAGACGAACUACUGCGAAAGCAUU
rnacentral:rRNA from 1 species